rnacentral:tRNA from 1 species
GGCCUGUGAGUGUGCUGGACUGGCAUAGCAGCUUCCGAAGCUGUCGGACCAGGUUCGAUUCCUGGACAGGCUAC